CUUUAUCAAUCGAGGUCAAUGAUUACUCCUUCCCCUAUUUAUACCGAUAAUCUCUCCACCAAUUUCACUCACAAACUCCUUAGAACAUCAUUACGUUAAGCCUUCACUGUUUGCUUCUGAUUUUCCCUUCUCCCUUUCUUGAUUUCUUUCCCUCAAAAGAAUAAUGUCUAGCUCCUCAUCUUCUUCCCAACACUAAAUCCCCAUUCCUAUAGAGGACUGAUUGGACAGGGCUUUUGAUGCACCUUUUGACCAAGAAAACGAGACCAAUUCCUCCGCCGAUACCCAGCUUGGGGUCGACUACUGCCGACAUCAUUCCCCCAAUCCUCAAUUUUUUGAAGGAUUUCCGUGUCCAUGUGAGUCAGCAAUUGAGUUUUGUUAUGUAGAUAUUCCCUAAUCACUCGAUCCAGUCGAAGUUGAGAUUCUCUUAGCCCCUGAAGACACCGACAUUUCUCAUCAUGCUGUCGUGACCCCGGUUGAAUAAGAUUUUUUGCCCAACCUUUUUGGCCGGGUGUGGUCAUCCUGCACGCAUUUCUCAGGGUUGAGAGGACCCAGAGGAGUAUUUCUGCCAACUGUUGGAGGGGUAAGAUCCAUAGGAUCUUCAUCUCGGAGGGUUCCCUCCCGGAAGGAAGCUUGCACCAAUAUUGAACAAACUGCAGCCGCUGCCUCUGAUUCUCGCAAACAAAGGCCUUUGGGUGAUGUCUGCGCUUCUUCCUUCGGAGGGAUUGGUUCUCAGGUUAGGACACUCAGCAGGCUCAUUUAAUACUGGCAAGAGGUUAUUUAAGGCGUGGUGAAUUUGGAUAUAGGUGAAG